rnacentral:rRNA from 1 species
CUCUGUGACUCCUACGGGGAGGCAGCAGUGGGGAAUAUUGCACAAUGGGGGAAACCCUGAUGCAGCCAUGCCGCGUGUGUGAAGAAGGCCUUCGGGUUGUAAAGCACUUUCAGUAGGGAGGAAGGUAGUGUAGUUAACACCUGCACUAUUUGACGUUACCUACAGAAGAAGCACCGGCUAACUCCGUGCCAGCAGCCGCGGUAAUACGGAGGGUGCGAGCGUUAAUCGGAAUUACUGGGCGUAAAGCGCAUGCAGGCGGCCUGUUAAGUCAGAUGUGAAAGCCCGGGGCUUAACCUCGGAAUUGCAUUUGAAACUGGCAGGCUAGAGUCUUGUAGAGGGGGGUAGGAAUUUCAGGUGUAGCGGUGAAAUGCGUAGAGAUCUGAAGGAAUACCAGUGGCGAAGGCGGCCCCCUGGACAAAGACUGACGCUCAGAUGCGAAAGCGUGGGGAGCAAACAGGAUUAGAUACCCUGGGAG